rnacentral:rRNA from 1 species
CUACGGGAUGCACCAGUGGGGAAUAUUGCACAAUGGGCGCAAGCCUGAUGCAGCCAUGCCGCGUGUAUGAAGAAGGCCUUCGGGUUGUAAAGUACUUUCAGCGGGGAGGAAGGGAGUAAAGUUAAUACCUUUGCUCAUUGACGUUACCCGCAGAAGAAGCACCGGCUAACUCCGUGCCAGCAGCCGCGGUAAUACGGAGGGUGCAAGCGUUAAUCGGAAUUACUGAGCGUAAAGCGCACGCAGGCGGCUUGUUAAGUCAGAUGUGAAAUCCCCGGGCUCAACCUGGGAACUGCAUCUGAUACUGGCAAGCUUGAGUGUCGUAGAGGGGGGUAGAAUUCCAGGUGUAGCGGUGAAAUGCGUAGAGAUCUGGAGGAAUACCGGUGGCGAAGGCGGCCCCCUGGACGAAGACUGACGCUCAGGUGCGAAAGCGUGGGGAGCAAACAGGAUUAGAUACCCCGGUAGUC